AACACUCAGGGGUGUUGUGGAAUCUGAUAGUUGUCGGAAUCAGAAUUGAAACCGACCAAAAAAAGCAGUAGGUGUCAUGAAUUCAGAUAUUAUUGGUUUGAUAUUCGAAACAGAAUUUUUAUCGGUUUUGGGUGUCACGGAAACCAAUUUUAUCGGUUUUGCUGUCAGAAACAAAUCAAGAAGAUAGUCGCACACAGAUUUGAAAUGGGAAAACAUAAGCAUAAAACACAAAAUGUCUCAAUUAUUGAAUUUUUGAAAAAAAUGCAGAUAUUUAAGUGGGAAGCCUGCAUUAGAGGCUUGAAAUCGAUUUUUUGGGGCAUUUGUCGGACGACGGGCAGUAUGCAGAACACAAUUUCUAUUGGAAAAAAAUUCAAAAAGAUUACUUUUUGUUAAUAACUUAGUAUGUUCUAUGUAGUUAAACUAAGAAAAUUUCCAAAAAAAAGUGUAAAAUUCUGAAAAAAUUUAAAAUUUGAAAAAAAUGGUUUUUGACCAAACAAAUUUAA